GUUCCCAAUGUCACGAACCCGCAAGUUGAUCACCAAAACAUACAUCGAGUACUCACAUGAAUCCACGUGUGCCAACCCAUAUGCAUAGGUUCCCAAUUGUCACAAACCCGCAAGUUGAUCACAGCAGAUAGACUCGUGCAAGACAUAAAUCAAGUGUUCUCAAAGACUCAAUCCGAUAUGAUAACUUAAGGGGAAACUCAAUUCAUUACAAGAAGGGAGAGGGGGAAGAACAUCAUAAGAUCCAACUAUAGUAGCAAAGCCCAUGGUACAUCGAGAUCAAGACAUCUCAAGAACACGAGAG
rnacentral:lncRNA from 1 species